GUUCGUCCAAACACACUGGGCCGUUCCCGUUCUUUGUUGUGUCGUUCACGUUGCGUAGCGGCGUAGCUCUCUUGUAACGGUCACGCGCGGCUCACUUUUACCGAAAAGUGGUCAAAAUAUCACCCGGCUCUUCAAGCCGAACUGGACGACAUGGACGCCGGUCCGAUCCUGCGAGACAUCAUGCUGGGUGGAGGCGGACAGUUCGGUGAUGACGACUUCGACCUCUCGGACUUUGCCCUGUCCGAACUGGCCAUGUCCGCGACGGCCUCGGAACCCUCGGAAACCAGCCGCCACGACGGUCGUGAGGUAUCCCCGCCGAAAAGUCCCGAGUCGACUACCGUACCGGCGGACACUGGACGGCGUUCCCGCGUUCGAGUGGUUAGGCCUAACUACGCCGUGCUCGCUGGCGGUAAGUCUCGAGGCCGAAGCAAGGGUGGUUCCGUGUCGAGCUCGGACGAAGACGGCCGCGGGUCUCCGACGUCCACGGGCGAAGCGGACGACGCGUACUUCUCGAGCCGCGGCAGCUGCAUGUCCAAGAACGCGAUCGCGGCCCGGGAAAAUAGGCUUAAGAAGAAGCUCUACGUGCACAAAUUGGAGCGGAGUGUCCGAGCCCUGACCACGGAGAACGCCGAGCUGAAACGGCGUACACGGGACAUGACCGUCGAGGUCGAAGACCUUACUGAAGAGGUGCGGUACCUCAAGAGCGUGCUCGCUAACGUGGACGAAAUAUCGGCGCUGGUGCGGAACAUUCGGAGCUCUAGGCCUAACGUUAUGACAUCGUUGAAGACCACGGGCAAGCGGAGACCUGUUGAAGACCACGACUACGUGGGAAGCAACGGUGGUGGUGGUGGCAGUGUUAAAGGUUCCAAUUGUGCAGUUUCAGGGCCAGGUGGGAAUGGCGUCUGCGUCCACGUCGCCGACGGAACCCUGUCGCUGGAGUUCUGUCACCGGUGUGCUUCGCAGUCCAAGAAGGCCAAACUCGAGGCCCAGACGGGCUGAGCCGCCAUCUUGAUGGUGGUUGCGACUCUGAACAGACGAUGGUCGGUACAACGUGUCACCUCCCUUCUUCACUUUGCAUGGAAGACGAGCCCUGUCGACCUACAGCAGAAAGAGAAUGUGUAGCGAACUUGUAGCGCGUGUGAUCUUUGAGUGGGGCAGACGCUUUGCUUUUCACGGCUUUCUUUCGUUACAGGUGAACUUCAGUGGCGGAGGCUGCUCAUGAAGAAGGUCCGGGAGCUUUCGACUACUGUGUCUGUCAACCGCACUCUUCUGCCGAUGCGUCCACUGCUGUCUGGACCCAGACCCGGGAAAAUGGCAUCAAGUAAGGGAACUGCGUGGUGUUGGUAGGUCUGGUGGUAAUCCUUAAAGUUCUUGUUUGUCACAUCUACAAGUUUUCUGUGUGUGUGUUUUUUUUUUGUUUUUUUUUUUUUAGUUUUCUUUACAUUGAGAACAUGAGCCCUGUUGUGAAUAGCCUUCUUUUUAUGUACUUUGAGAAAGUGUUUAGUAUUAAGAUGCUACACUUCAAACUGUUGUAAAUAGCUUUCUUUCUAUGUAGUUUGAGAAAGUGCUUAGCAUUGAGACUGUGCUAUGUUAAGACCUGUAAAUAGAACCCUGUUUAUUUGGAAAUGCAAGUCACAAAGAAGCGGUCAAUGUAUUCCCUUUUGGAACUACUGUUGUGCUACUUGGCUCAAUAAAUGUGUCUUGUGUUGAGCAGA
rnacentral:misc_RNA from 1 species